rnacentral:rRNA from 1 species
AACGAACGCUGGCGGCAUGCCUAACACAUGCAAGUCGAACGAGACCUCCGGGUCUAGUGGCGCACGGGUGUGUAACGCGUGGGAACCUGCCCUUAGGUUCGGAAUAACUCUCCGAAAGGGGUGCUAAUACCGGAUAAUGUCUUCGGACCAAAGAUUUAUCGCAUUUGGUUGGGCACGCGUUGGAUUAGCUUGUUGGUAGGGUAAAAGCCUACUAAGGCGACGAUCCAUAGCUGGUUUGAGAGGAUGGUCAGCGACACUGGGACUGAGACACGGCCCAGACUCCUACGGAAUGCAGCAAUGGGUGAUAUUGGACAAUGGGGUAAGUCCUGAACCACCAAUGCCGCGAAAGUGAUGAAGUCCGGAGGGAAGUAAAGCUCUUUUACCCGGGAUGAUAAUGACGGUACCGGGAGAAUAAGCUCCGGCUAACUCCGUG